rnacentral:lncRNA from 1 species
GUUCCUAAAUCUUCUAGAGAAACACUUCUCCGGUAUUAAUUGUACCAAACAAAUACAGGAGCUGGAAACCAGCAGGAGGAAAGUUUCGGUGUCUGUAGUGACUUGGAUAUAGGAUACAGGACACCAGGUGAAGAGUGAGGGAUCAGCAGAGCCCUUGCAGGAAUCCAACCAGCUGAUGCUGUGAGAAUACCACCCUGUCACCUACAAGAAAACAUGAGCUGAUAAAAACUGCAUCAGCACUUGGAGGAAGAAUGAGAAUUUCCAGCCGCAAAAAAAGAAAAUGAUGAAGGUCCAUCCACAUUUCCACAAAUGGCAGAAUUUCAUUCCUCUCCAUGGGAAUGGAGAAAGGCUGGAAGAGUGAAAAUACCAGAAUGACCAAAGUUAAUAUUGGAUUGGACUGAAUACCUCCCUUGGGAUAAAGAUGGAACAGAGACAGAGCUACUGAAGUAAUUACUGCCAAGGUAAAUGGUGAGUCACAUCUCUUGGUUCCUGUUUUAAUCACACAAUGCUAAAUUAUUCUGCUUAAAUACUGCUUUAUUCCUUCCUAUUCAAAGGCAGGGCUUCUCUCUUAAGGUUUUUAGUCAAAUUCUUCUAAUCAUAUAGUUAGAGAAAUGGGUACAUUGUCUUUAUUCAUGGUCAUUGAAGGUGGUGAUAGAACCUGAUUUGAUAUACUUUUUUUAAAAAAAUAAAAUUAUAGAGUCUUCAGGCUAAGGGCUAAAGAUAAUUUAUUUCUAAAUGGUUCUCAUUUAGAAAACUGAAGAAAAAAAAGACAGACUAAGCCAAGAUAUUGUGAAAUGACCUCUGCCUCCAAUACUAAAUUAAGCUGGGAUGCUUUGGGUUCCUGUUGUACUUUGUGCAUAAAGCAUAAAGCCCUUUCUGCUGCCCAGUGCAUUUAUCUGGCUAGUAGUUGUUCAAUGCACUAGACUCAGAACUUUCUAAUUAAUUACUUAACUAAUAAAUUAUUUCUGUUUUGAGACUUUUAUUUUUCAUUUUUAUACAUUUUUUAAAGUUUAUUCUACAUUUACUAUUAUUAAAAAAUAUUGGCUAUAUUCUGCAUGUUGUAUAAUAUAUUCUUGAGCAUACCUUGGGAGGUACAAACUUUUGGAUAUAAGAUAGACUCAGAAUCUUUUGAGGUCCUGGACUGUGUAAAGUUUAUGGCUAGAGACCUUUCACCUAGGAUCAUUCUUAACUCAUAAUAGGUACUUUGUAAUCAGUGUUAAUCAUAGGUGAAAACAAAAUCUCUUUGAUUAUGAUGCUUUUUUUGGGGGGCUUAGGGAAGAUGCCUCUUAUUUGUCCCUUAUUUGUGAAUAAUUCAAUCUCAAAAGGCACCGAAAUACAAGAGAUUUGACCUCAAAAAAUAGCAUAGUCUUAGACAGUCUUGCUCUAGAUGAAAUUACUUAAGCUAAGGUAAUGGCAGGAAAACCUUUUUGGUUAUGGUUGUAAAUAUUAGGGUACCUCAAACCAAGUUCAUCGCAGCAGUGGUGAGAAGUUGGGAUUCUGAAUGUAUUUUGAGACUAAAGCAAUUACAUUUCCUGAUGAACCGAUGAAGAUGAUGAGAACAGAAGAGGAGUCGAGGAUGACUUCAAGGCUUUUGGUCGGAAUCACUAGAAGCCAGAAGGGGAAGCCUUCUUGAGCUGGUGAAAACUGCAGAGCGGAUAAGAUUUGAUGGGAAGAUUGGGAGUUUAGCUUCAGAUAUGCUAAGAGUUUUCUCCUGUUAAUCUGCCUUUGUGCAUUUACUUUUUUACACACAGGCAGGGGCCUUAACUGUGCUGAGGAAAACAUUUUCCACCCCUACCACACUGUUUAGUCACAUAGACACUGGUUGGUAGUGGAUGUAGAAGUUAACUUUAGAAGUUGCAAUAAUCUUUGCAGAGAGAAGUAGGAAACAAAUCGAGGAUGAUCAUGGCAGAAGGGGUGUGGAAUUUUGAGGAAAGAGAAAAAGAUAUGACACAGUUAUGAAGGAAAGACAAAUGGGUCAGGAAAAUAGAUUAUUAGGCAGCAUGAGGGUCCAUUUGAACUUACGGAGGCGAAUUCAGUGAAAUCAGUCAUGGUGGACAUGCAGCCACGUUUAGGUGCCUGAGAACGGUCCUUUCCGAGGUGGACGAGUGGAUUUUUGCUGCAAUGUGAUUUUUGCCAAAUAAAUACAGUGAAGCAAAAGAGAAGCAUAUGUUCGGACAGUUUGGACAGAUGAGUAAUUCUAAUAAUAGACAAUGGAAUUAAACCGGUUAAAUGAGGGGAUAAAGGCAUUAACGGAAGUGAUGUACACAAUUAUUUAAUGGAGGUAUCCAUUCCGGUACAGAAUCUGAUGUGAUGGAAAGCUUAGGAAUUUUAAUGUUAAGUCAAAACAAUAUAAAACAAGACAAGCUUGUGACAGCUUUUAAAUACUGAAUUGGUCCAAAAGCAAGCAACACACACACAUGCACACGCACACACACACUUAACAUUAUCGUAGAGUCUUUUUUAAAAUUCUGUCUUAAGAUGUUUCUUUGGAAUGUUGACAUCG